GACGAACGCUGGCGGCGUGCCUAAUACAUGCAAGUAGGACGCAGUUGCGAACGGGUGAGUAACGCGUAGGUAACUGCCUAUUAGAGGGGGAUAACUAUUGGAAACGAUAGCUAAUACCGCAUACUAGUAGAUGGACCUGCGUUGUAUUAGCUAGUAGGUAGGGUAAUGGCCUACCUAGGCAAGGAUACCUAGCCGACCUGAGAUGGUGAUCUGCAACACGGGGACCGAGACACGGCCCCGACUCCUACGGGAGGCAGCAGUAGGGAAUCUUUGGCAAUGGGGGGAACCCUGACCGAGCAACGCCGCGUGAUUGAAGAAGGUUUUCGGAUCGUAAAGCUCUGUUGUUAAGGAAGCGGUACUUAACCAGAAAGGGACGGCUAACUACGUGCCAGCAGCCGCGGUAAUAC
rnacentral:rRNA from 1 species